GACGAACGCUGGCGGCGUGCCUAAUACAUGCAAGUUGAGCGCUGAAGGCUGGUACUUGUACCAAAUGGAUGAGCAGCGAACGGGUGAGUAACGCGUGGGGAAUCUGCCUUUGAGCGGGGGGCCACAGUUGGAAACGAAUGCUAAUACCGCAUAAAAACUUUAAACGCAGGUUUGAGGAUUGAAAUUUGCAAUUUCUUCAUUCAAUCAUGACCCCGCGUCGUAUUAGUUGGUUGGUGGGGUAACGGGUCAGCAAGGCGAGGACACAUAGACAACCUGAGAGGGUGAUCGGCGACAUUGGGACUUGGACACGGCCCCAGCGACUGAGGGAGGGAGCAGUAUGGAAUGUUCGGCAACGGAGGAGAGUCUGGCAGAGCAAGGGCGCGUGAGCGAAGGAGGUUUUCGGAUCGGAAAACUCUGUUUGGAGAGGAGAACGUUUGUGAGAGGGGAAAGCGCAACAAGUGACGGUACCUACCGAGAAAGCGACGGCUAACUACGUG
rnacentral:rRNA from 1 species